GAAAACAUUGACGAGUUCCAAAUUUGAAAUUUGAAAACAUUGGAGAGAGAUGAAGUUUAUUUAAAUCCCCAGGAAAAAAUUCGCGCGCUCAUCCGAUCUCGGAGCUAAGGGAGUCAAGGAUCCUGAGAUGAAGAGGUCGCAAGGUUGCAGAGAAGAGACAGAGCGCCGACGUUCCUUUUGAAAGCACGAAGGAUCCAAUCGAAUUUUUCUCCGAUCUCUCAUUCCGAGGCUGCGAGUGUUGUUAUCCAAGGAUCGAGCCUAGACUUAUUGCUGCCAACGCCAGAGAUUUCUCUUCCGACUGAUGCUUCUCCAGUUUCAACCAUUACUACUAGUGUGGAGGCUCGUAUUGACACUUCUUCUACUGAUCGGAUCCAUUCUGCUUCUGUGCAAUCCUUGCGUGCAGAGAUCAACGAGCUUAAAAAAUUGAUCUGCUCAGUUGACACUUCUGAAGAAAGUAGCUGCGUCGAUGGAAUUGUUACUCUGAAAUUCCGCUUUGUGCUUUUGAGUUUCAUCCUUUGGGCUAUCGCUGCAUUUGUCGUCUUCUUCAGCUCAGGAGAAGAGGACGUUGGACCACUUCCAACAUGAUUACUGCAAGGUUUGGCUGAUAUAUAACUGGGAACCGGGGACCUAAAACUCAACACUACUUCAGAACCACGAAGCAUGUAAAAAGUUAGAAAAGAUCAGAUGAAAACAAUUCGUACACAGGUUUGUAUUUCAUGUUUGCCUCAGAACAGCGUUUAGUUGAUGUUAAAUUUACCAAAAGUCUAUUAAUUAUUUCAUAUUAGCAAUUCAAAGUAGACCGUUGAAAAAACAAUGAUUGAGCAUCAUCCGUUAUCUCA